GAUGAACGCUGGCGGCGUGCCUAAUACAUGCAAGUCGAGCGAACAGAUAAGGAGCUUGCUCCUUUGACGUUAGCGGCGGACGGGUGAGUAACACGUGGGUAACCUACCUAUAAGACUGGAAUAACUCCGGGAAACCGGGGCUAAUGCCGGAUAACAUUUAGAACCGCAUGGUUCUAAAGUGAAAGAUGGUUUUGCUAUCACUUAUAGAUGGACCCGCGCCGUAUUAGCUAGUUGGUAAGGUAACGGCUUACCAAGGCAACGAUACGUAGCCGACCUGAGAGGGUGAUCGGCCACACUGGAACUGAGACACGGUCCAGACUCCUACGGGAGGCAGCAGUAGGGAAUCUUCCGCAAUGGGUGAAAGCCUGACGGAGCAACGCCGCGUGAGUGAUGAAGGUCUUCGGAUCGUAAAACUCUGUUAUUAGGGAAGAACAAAUGUGUAAGUAACUGUGCACGUCUUGACGGUACCUAAUCAGAAAGCCACGGCUAACUACGUG
rnacentral:rRNA from 1 species